ACGCUCGACACCUACGGGAGGCAGCAGUGGGGAAUAUUGCACAAUGGGGGAAACCCUGAUGCAGCGACGCCGCGUGGAGGAAGAAGGUCUUCGGAUUGUAAACUCCUGUUGUUGGGGAAAAAGAGGAUGGUACCCAACAAGGAAGUGACGGCUAACUACGUGCCGGUAGCCGCGGUAAUCUGAGCGGGCUGGCAAGGC
rnacentral:rRNA from 1 species